GAAAGAAUGGAAAAGGCGGAAUCACCUAGGGGCUAUUCAGGAACCAACUUGAUUGUAUCAACUCGAAUGCAUAUGCCAACAUGGCAAUGGCAGCGGUAGCUUUACCAUAUGGUUGAUUGGACGGUUGUGAAAACAGAGGCUGAUACAGAGCUCACCGCACUGCACGAAUAAUGUAAGUUUACUUUUCAUUCAUCUUGCUAGUAACACAAUGUAAGAGGUUUCAGUUCUGUUUUAUUCCCUGUUAGUGAUAUUUCAGGCCUACAUGUUGAUCAUUAAAAUUAUGUCGUAGC